rnacentral:rRNA from 1 species
AGCGCAGGCGGCUAAACAAGUCUGGAGUGCAAGCCCGGGGCUCAACCCCGGAAUGGCUUUGGAUACUGUUUGGCUUGAGUACGUCAGAGGUGAGCGGAAUUCCAGGUGUAGCGGUGAAAUGCGUAGAUAUCUGGAGGAACAUCCGUGGCGAAAGCGGCUCACUGGGACGACACUGACGCUGAGGCUCGAAAGCGUGGGGAGCGAACGGGAUUAGAUACCCCGGUAGUCCACGCUGUAAACGUUGUGCACUAGGUGUGAGGGGUGUCUACCCCCUUCGUGCCGUAGCUAACGCAUUAAGUGCACCGCCUGGGGAGUACGGUCGCAAGACUGAA